AGCAGCCGCGGUAAUUCCAGCUCCAAUAGCGUAUAUUAAAGUUGUUGCAGUUAAAAAGCUCGUAGUUGAAUUUCGGGGUCUGUCCGUCGGUCGGGCUUCACGGUCCGUACUGGUGUGAUGGGUUCCUACCUUCUGAAUAACCGGCAUGCCAUUCAGUUGGUGCGCCGGGGAAGCAGAGCUAUUACCUUGAAAAAUUAGAGUGCUUAAAGCAGGCUAGUGCUUGAAUAGAUUAGCAUGGAAUAAUAAAAUAGGACGGCAUGGUUCUAUUUUGUUGGUUUCUAGGAUCACCGUAAUGAUUAAUAGGGAUAGUUGGGGGCAUUAGUAUUCAAUUGUCAGAGGUGAAAUUCUUGGAUUUAUUGAAGACUAACUUCUGCGAAAGCAUUUGCCAAGGAUGUUUUCAUUAAUCAAGAACGAAAGUUAGGGGAUCGAAGACGAUCAGAUACCGUCGUAGUCUUAACCAUAAACUAUGCCGACUAGGGAUCGGACGAUGUUAAUUUUUAAUGACUCGUUCGGCGCCUAC
rnacentral:rRNA from 1 species